AAUAAUAAACGCAAAACAGAGAAGGGAGGAGUGAGGGAACUAUCUUUGGGUCAGACAAUCCGGAGUUCAAUCUCCAUUUUGCAGUCUUCCCUAUAGCCCUUAACCUCCGUAACCUCCAGUUUCCUCCUCUGGGUAAUAUCAGUGAGGCCUCUUCUUCGGAGGAUUCAGGAAGCCAGGGACAAAGACCCCACAAAAUGGCCGCCAGCACCAUUCUUUUUUUUUUUUUUUUUAAUUCCACUGACACCUGGUGAAGCCACCCUUAUGGUUCACUCCACCCGCCGCGUCUCCUGUUCCGAGCAACUGACGCUGCAAUAAGCGGCCGCCACCGGGAAAUGCCCAGAGAGGACCAGACGCCCGAGGAAGGGCGGAGCAGAGCGGCCGCAGGCCCCGCCCAACACCGCGCUCAGCCUCCCGCGGGCUCCAGCCUCACCUGCGCGGCCUGUGGAGCUGCACAUCUCCAGGCCCCGCCCCCCAGAACUCUGAUUGGCGGGUCUAGGCGGGGGCCGGGAAAUCUGCAUUUGCACCAGCGCCCACCCCCGUCCUUCCCACCCCCGCCCCUCACGCCCAGGAUGGAGCCACCAAAUAUCCCAGUGUCUGAGGUGGAUCUCAAACCAAGAAGUGUGACUUAUCUCAUGCACCAGAGAAGUUCCUCAAGAAAAGAAGCAUGUCAUUAGUAAUUGCUGCAUUGCACAUUUGGAGAGGAAAUAGCAUUCUCCAGCCAACAGGCCUGGUGUGCUUUGCUUCCUGCUGUCUCUUCUACAUCUAAAAUGAUGCUUCGUACAUAGCAUGGCACAAGUUGGCACUCAAUAAAGGCUUCUUGCAUGGAAGAAGGAUAAACACCCUGACACACCAAUUAUGGCAUCAGUGCAUACCUGAGAGAUAUUGUGGGUUUG
rnacentral:lncRNA from 10 species